AAAUAGAUACCCAGGUAGUCCACGCCGUAAACGAUGAGUGCUAAGUGUUGGGGGGUUUCCGCCCCUCAGUGCUGCAGCUAACGCAUUAAGCACUCCGCCUGGGGAGUACGGUCGCAAGACUGAAACUCAAAGGAAUUGACGGGGGCCCGCACAAGCGGUGGAGCAUGUGGUUUAAUUCGAAGCAACGCGAAGAACCUUACCAGGUCUUGACAUCCCGGUGACCACUAUGGAGACAUAGUUUCCCCUUCGGAGGCAACGGUGACAGGUGGUGCAUGGUUGUCGUCAGCUCGUGUCGUGAGAUGUUGGGUUAAGUCCCGCAACGAGCGCAACCCUUAUUCUUAGUUGCCAUCAUUCAGUUGGGCACUCUAAGGAGACUGCCGGUGAUAAACCGGAGGAAGGUGGGGAUGACGUCAAAUCAUCAUGCCCCUUAUGACCUGGGCUACACACGUGCUACAAUGGACGGUACAAACGGUUGCCAACCCGCGAGGGGGAGCUAAUCCGAUAAAACCGUUCUCAGUUCGGAUUGUAGGCUGCAACUCGCCUAC
rnacentral:rRNA from 1 species